AGAGUAGCCUCCGGCGCGUAAAGUGUCAUCGAACGGGACGUUGUCGAUGAACGAAAGAAAAGCAAAUCCAACUUCGGCUUUUCUGCGGUGCCGUGGCGCGUCCGCU
rnacentral:ncRNA from 1 species